CUUUAAAACAUAUUUAUUUAAAACGAUUCAAACGAUAAAAUACAUAACAUGACAAUCCUUCUGGUUUUCUCUCGUGCUUUCAGUCAGACAAUCAAUUCAAAGUCUAAUAUUUAUGACAUACGAUACAUUUCUUACGUCAAUCAACUAAAUCACCCAUUGUUUGUUAUCCUACGUCGUUAUCAAUAAUAUAGUAUUACAAAUUAUUCUACACACUCCCCCCUUUGAGCCUGUAAGGGUCAAACAUGACUUGUGUUCUCCAAUGUGCAUCCUGCACGCUGCUGCUCUCCUAGUGCGCACACGGCUUUCCACCUUACCCUUCUCUCCGUCUUUCUCAUUCAUUUCCGUCUUUCCUUUCUCAUUAAUUUUCGUCUUUCCUUUCUGGUUAUCAUACCCAUCCACUUCAUUUUCAACUUUAUUAUCCUUUCUUUCUUCUGUACUGCUUCCGUUCUCAUUUAACUCUACAGGAUACAAUUUCUGAACUGGUCUAUUAAGAUAUACUGGAUUUCCUUUAGUCAUCACUCUCACUUUCGCUCCUCGAACAACUUCAUCUUUACCGACAAUUAAACUCUCAAUCCUACCUAACUUCCAAAAUCCUCUCUUAAGGUUCUCGUCAAAUACUAAAACUACAUCUCCCUUCUUCACGUUCCUAUCCCUCUUCUCCCUCUUACUUCUAUGAUGCUCUCUCAAAUUCGUCAAGUAUUCCUUUCUCCAUCUCUCCCAAAAGUGAACUCGCAGUUUCGCUAGAUGCCUAAACCUACGCUUAACCUUUGUCUCAUCAUUCUCUUCAAUUUUGUAACUAGUCUCGUCUGGAAUUAAACUCAAUCUACGACCAAAGAUCAAAUGAUUCGGUGUUAGUACAUCGUUUUCAACCUCAUCGUAAAUGUAGGUUAACGGUCUAGAAUUCAACGUGCCUUCAACCUCAACUAAAGUCGUCAACAGUUCUUCGAAUGUCAACUUGGCAUUCCCCAGCACCUUACGUAAACACCUCUUCACCAAACCAACCAACCUUUCAAAGAAUCCUCCCCACCAAGGCGCUCUCUCUAAAUUAAACUGCCAUUUCACACAAUUAUCUUGCAUAUAAGCUCUCACAUUCCCGCUCUCGUACAACUUCUUCACUGCUUUCUGUGCCGCCUUAAAAGUUUUAGCAUUGUCUGAAACAAUAAGCGUCGGUGCCCCUCGCCUGCUUGCAAAUCUCCUCAAACAGUUCAAGAAACUAGGUGCACUAAGAUUUCUUACCAAAUCCAAGUGAACUGCCCUCGUGACACAACACGUGAACAACGCUAUGUACACCUUCACCAUUUUACCACCUUCCUUUGCAUACAACGGACCAGCAAAGUCAACCCCAACUUUAGCAAAUGGUGGUGACUCCCGCACCCUGAAGUCCGGUAAACCUGCCUCAUCAGGUUUUCCAUAAGGCGUACCCCCAUGUUCUUACAGACAACACACUUACCGAUCACCUUCUUCACUAUUUGACGUCCUCGUGGCACCCAAUACUUACCUCUCAAUUCUGCCAGAGUAGCUCUGAGCCCGCAAUGAUGAACUCGUUUAUGGCAUGCGGAUAUAAUCAACUCUGUUAGCCAAUGCUCCUUCGGGAGAAUAAUUGGUUCCUUAGCUGCUUCUUCUAAAUCUGAAUUAGAGAGCCUACCCUUACAUUUUAAAAUCCCAUCUCUAUCAACCAAACCUAACUGUUUUACUAAAUGCGGGAAAUCUUUCUUAUUCCUCAAACUGACUUGAGCAUCCUUAAUCAAUGCACUCUCUGCAUAUCUUAUCUCCUCUACUGUCAAAUUACCUAAAUAAAUUUCCCUAUCUUGUGAUUUUGCCUUUACAUUCUGCACAAAUCUCAUUACCCAAGAUGUUACCCUUAUUAACCUAUUAAGCUUACUAUAUGCCUUAACAUCAAUUACAUUCUCUAAGCUGGCUGAUUCACUAUCAACCUGCACUGUCAUUGUGACCGACUUCUUAACUUCCUUCAAACUAUCUUCUGUUUCUGUAAUCUCUGUAGCAACAGGCCAGUCUACUUGUGGACCUAACAACCAAUUGGGACCCUUCCACCAAAGUGCACUCUCCUUCAAUCUGGAUGGGGAUACCCCUCGUGAUCCUAGGUCUGCGGGGUUUUCU
rnacentral:lncRNA from 1 species